AGUGAACGCUGGCGGUAGGCCUAACACAUGCAAGUCGAACGGCAGCACAGUAAGAGCUUGCUCUUACGGUUGGCGAGUGGCGGACGGGUGAGGAAUACAUCGGCAUCUACUUUUUCGUGGGGGAUAACGUAGGGAAACUUACGCUAAUACCGCAUACGACCUACGGGUGAAAGCAGGGGAUCUUCGGACCUUGCGCGAUUGAAUUAGCCGAUGUCGGAUUAGCUAGUUGGCGGGGUAAAGGCACACCAAGGCGACGAUCCGUAGCUGAUCUGAGAGGAUGAUCAGCCACACUGGAACUGAGACACGGUCCAGACUCCUACGGGAGGCAGCAGUGGGGAAUAUUGGACAAUGGGCGCAAGCCUGAUCCAGCCAUGCCGCGUGGGUGAAGAAGGCCUUCGGGUUGUAAAGCCCUUUUGUUGGGAAAGAAAAUCAGCAGGUUAAUCCCCCGCUGUUCUGACGGUACCCAAAGAAUAAGCACCGGCUAACUUCGUG
rnacentral:rRNA from 1 species